AGAGUUUGAUCCUGGCUCAGAAUCAACGCUGGCGGCGUGCCUAACACAUGCAAGUCGAACGCGAAAACCUCGCAAGGGGUUAGUAGAGUGGCAAACGGGUGAGUAACACGUGGGUGACCUGCCUUAGAGUGGGGGAUAACGUCCCGAAAGGGACGCUAAUACCGCAUAACAUCCUGCCUUUGAAGAGGUGGAGAUCAAAGCUGGGGACCGCAAGGCCUAGCGCUUAGAGAGGGGCCCGCGUCUGAUUAGCUAGUUGGUGGGGUAAUGGCUCACCAAGGCAACGAUCAGUAUCCGGCCUGAGAGGGCGGACGGACACACUGGGACUGAGACACGGCCCAGACUCCUACGGGAGGCAGCAGUGGGGAAUUGUUCGCAAUGGGCGCAAGCCUGACGACGCAACGCCGCGUGGAGGAUGAAGACCUUCGGGUCGUAAACUCCUUUCGAUCGAGACGAAUGGUUCCUGGGUUAACAGCCCAGGAGAAUGACGGUACCGAGAGAAGAAGCCCCGGCUAACUCCGUGCCAGCAGCCGCGGUA
rnacentral:rRNA from 1 species